GAUGAACGCUGGCGGCGUGCCUAAUACAUGCAAGUCGAGCGAACAGACGAGGAGCUUGCUCCUCUGACGUUAGCGGCGUACGGGUGAGUAACACGUGGAUAACCUACCUAUAAGACUGGGAUAACUUCGGGAAACCGGAGCUAAUACCGGAUAAUAUAUUGAACCGCAUGGUUCAAUAGUGAAAGACGGUUUUGCUGUCACUUAUAGAUGGAUCCGCGCCGCAUUAGCUAGUUGGUAAGGUAACGGCUCACCAAGGCAACGAUGCGUAGCCGACCUGAGAGGGUGAUCAGCCACACUGGAACUGAGACACGGUCCAGACUCCUACGGGAGGCAGCAGUAGGGAAUCUUCCGCAAUGGGCGAAAGCCUGACGGAGCAACGCCGCGUGAGUGAUGAAGGUCUUCGGAUCGUAAAACUCUGUUAUUAGGGAAGAACAAAUGUGUAAGUAACUAUGCACGUCUUGACGGUACCUAAUCAGAAAGCCACGGCUAACUACGUG
rnacentral:rRNA from 1 species